UACAGGAGACUGUCAAGCGUUAUUGCGGAAGUUCACUGGGCGUAAAGGGUGCGCAGGCGGCCAAAGUCGGUGUCGAGGUGUGAAAGCCCGGGGCUUAACCCCGGAAUUGCACCUCAAACUACGUUGGCUAGAGCAUUGGAGGAGGGUAGCAGAAUUCAACGGUGUAGCAGUGAAAUGCGUAGAUAUCGUGAGGAAUACCAGAGGCGAAGGCGGCUACCUGGACAAUUGCUGACGGCUCAGG
rnacentral:rRNA from 1 species